GGGUCAUUAGGUUGGUCGUGCCACCGGUACGUACUGGUCUCACUGAUUCCUCCUUCCUGAAGAACCGUAAUGCCAUUAAUUUGGUGUUGCGGGGAAACAGGACUGUUACUUUGAAAGAAUUAGAGUGUUUAAAGCAAGCUAACGCUUGAAUACAUUAGCAUGGAAUAAUGAAAUAGGACGAUCGAUCCUAUUUUGUUGGUUUCUAGGAUUGACGUA
rnacentral:rRNA from 1 species